UACGUAGGAUCCAAGCGUUAUCCGGAUUUAUUGGGUUUAAAGGGUGCGUAGGCGGCCUGUUAAGUCAGGGGUGAAAGACGGUAGCUCAACUAUCGCAGUGCCCUUGAUACUGAUGGGCUUGAAUGGACUAGAGGUAGGCGGAAUGAGACAAGUAGCGGUGAAAUGCAUAGAUAUGUCUCAGAACACCGAUUGCGAAGGCAGCUUACUAUGGUCUUAUUGACGCUGAGGCACGAAAGCGUGGGGAUCAAACAGG
rnacentral:rRNA from 1 species